CUCUCGGCAACGGAUAUCUCGGCUCACGCAUCGAUGAAGAACGUAGCAAAAUGCGAUACUUGGUGUGAAUUGCAGAAUCCCGUGAACCAUCGAGUUUUUGAACGCAAGUUGCGCCCGAAGCCAUUCGGCUGAGGGCACGUCUGCCUGGGCGUCACGCAUCGCGUC
rnacentral:rRNA from 23 species